rnacentral:rRNA from 1 species
GGGGGGGGGGGGGGGGGGGGGUGGUGGGGGGGGGUCGGGGGGGCGGGGGGGAAGCUUGCUUCUCUGAUGUUAGCGGCGGGCUGGUGCGUAACGCGUGGAUAACCUACCUAUACGACUUUGAUAACUUCGGGACACCGUAGCUCCUACCGUAUGCUAUUUUGGACCGCAUUGUUCAAAAGUGAAAGACUUUCUUGCUGUCACUUCUCGAUUGAUCCGCGCUGCAUCAGCUAGUUGGUAAGGUCACGGCUCAUCACGGUCACGAUGCAUAGCCGACCUGCGAGGGUGAGCGGCCACACUGGAACUAAGAAACGGUCCAGACUCCUACGGGAGGAAGCAGUAGGGAAUCUUCCGAAAUGGGAGAAAGACUGACGGAGCAACGCCGCGUGAGUGAUGAAGGUCUUCGGAUCGUAAAACUCUGUUAUUAGGGAAGAACAUAUGUGUAAGUAACUGUGCACAUCUUGACGGUACAUAAUCAGAAAGACACGGCUAACUAAGUG